rnacentral:ncRNA from 2 species
CCGGGUUACGGUGCCCAACUGCGCGCUAAC